AGAGUUUGAUCCUGGCUCAGGAUGAACGCUGGCGGUAUGUCUGACACAUGCAAGUCGAACGGUAAGCCACCUUCGGGUGGCCUAGAGUGGCGAACGGCUGAGUAACACGUAGGAACCUACCCCUCAGUUCGGGACAACGGGACGAAAGCCCCGCUAAUACCGGAUAAUACCGAAAGGUUGAAAGGUUUACUGCUGAGGGAGGGGCCUGCGGGCUAUUAGCUUGUUGGUGGGGUAACGGCUCACCAAGGCGAUGAUGGCUAGCUGGUCUGAGAGGAUGAUCAGCCAGACUGGGACUGAGACACGGCCCAGACUCCUACGGGAGGCAGCAGUUCAGAAUCUUGCACAAUGGGCGAAAGCCUGAUGCAGCGAUACCGCGUGGGUGAAGAAGGCCCUCGGGUCGUAAAGCCCUGUCAGAGGGAAAGAUAAUGACGGUACCCUCUAAGGAAGCCACGGCUAAUUACGUGCCAGCAGCCGCGGUA
rnacentral:rRNA from 1 species